UGGGGAAUUUUGCACAAUGGGGGAAACCCUGAUGCAGCGACGCCGCGUGAUUUAGAAGGCCUUCGGGUUGUAAAAAUCUUUUUUAUGGGAUGAAAAUGACAGUACCAUAAGAAUAAGGUCCGGCUAAAUACGUGCCAGCAGCCGCGGUAAUACGUAUGGACCGAGCGUUGUCCGGAAUCACUGGGCGUAAAGGGUUCGCAGGCGGAAAUGCAAGUCAGGUGUAAAAGGCAGUAGCUUAACUACUGUAAGCAUUUGAAACUGCAUAUCUUGAGAAGAGUAGAGGUAAGUGGAAUUUUUAGUGUAGCGGUGAAAUGCGUAGAUAUUAAAAAGAAUACCGGUGGCGAAGGCGACUUACUGGGCUCAUUCUGACGCUGAGGAACGAAAGCGUGGGUAGCAAACAGG
rnacentral:rRNA from 2 species